GAAGCGUCACGUCUAGACGUCUUCUACACAAGAGACAAUGGUAACGAAUGAGAGUCACUAAUGAUGUUAUUUUAUGUAAUGUAGAAUGAGUUCUGCGUAACAGAUAGGCAACAAAGACAGGAAGUAAAUCAGUGUUUGAUGUUAUCCAACGCUCCUUAUCCUGUACUGCUUUGAUAUUCAAUUUUCUUUAGUUGUAAAGGGGUUGGGGCAGAUCACUACAACACGAGCAUCCCGCGAAGUAAGCGGGUCACUCGAGGGCGACCUGUACCCCCUAAAAAAUUCUUCUAGCAACUGAGCUAGGAGCCGGUCGUCACCCCGGCUCGUUAUUUUCCUUACUCAUUAGUUUAAGGCAUGAAGAUUGCGCAAUCGCCAAUAGUAAUAGCAACCUUUGUGAUGUCUACAACGUUUGUGGUUUAUAGUAUGUUCUUCGUAGCUGCACUGACGGGGAUAGCUCUUACUGUAAACUACACCACAUUCUCAAGUGUAAUGUUUUCGUUUAUUCUGUUUGUUAUAAUCUGAUAUAGCACGAAGUGGAAUGUAAAAUUUCUCAUCUUGAAGUGUAAAGCUAUGGACUCAUUAACAUAAUUUAUGUAUUGUGACAUCAUUGCCUAGGUAUGCUAAAGUAGACAGGUACAGCACAACUAUUCACAUAUCAACCAUGAAAUACUCAUGUUUUGGUAUUUUGUGUAACAAUUUUGUGUAAAUACUACGAACAAAGAAAACACAGUGAAAACAUGAAAGACAUUUAAAAGAGUUUUUACUAAUUUAUUGGUUAUUUCACGGAGACAUUUUAUAAUGAGAUGGGAGCAGCAAUGUGUGGCCAGCGGUACAUGUCGGCACACUCGGGAACGGUUAACAACUUAUACAUUUGGUGAUGCCUUCAACAGCUGUUACACUUGCAUGAGAGCAUGUUUCUGUUGGAAACACUAAAACAAGUUCUAACUUUCCAUGACCUCAUCCAUUGUUUGGUCACGCUGUAUAUUAUGGUAAUUGCAGAUUCCUUGAGUUUUGAUCCUUUGUUUGAUCAAAAGUUUGAGUUUUGACCAACCAUGUUAUAUCUUACCCCAUACAUCUCAUAAAAAAGAUCAGCUCUGAACACCUAAGGACUCAAUUUACUCCAAGAAACGUUGAUAAACAUAUAGUUAUGUAUGUUCAGGAAAACAUAAUAUCAAUACAUGAUAGAGUUGUCCCUACACAUUUUGCAUUUGCAUUUGCAAGAUGAGAUAACACUACUGGUUUACACCUUUUUUCCUAUCAC